rnacentral:rRNA from 1 species
UACAGAGGGUGCAAGCGUUAAUCGGAAUUACUGGGCGUAAAGCGCACGUAGGCGGCUUGGUAAGUCGGAUGUGAAAGCCCUGGGCUUAACCUGGGAACUGCAUUCGAUACUGCCUUGCUAGAGUAUGGUAGAGGAUGGCGGAAUUCCCGGUGUAGCGGUGAAAUGCGUAGAUAUCGGGAGGAACAUCAGUGGCGAAGGCGGCUGUCUGGACCAAUACUGACGCUGAGGUGCGAAAGCGUGGGGAGCAAACAGG